rnacentral:rRNA from 1 species
GACGAACGCUGGCGGCGUGCUUAACACAUGCAAGUCGAACGGAAAGGCCCUGCUUUUGUGGGGUGCUCGAGUGGCGAACGGGUGAGUAACACGUGAGUAACCUCCCCUUGACUUUGGGAUAACUUCAGGAAACUGGGGCUAAUACCGGAUAGGAGCUCCUGCUUCAUGGUGUGGGUUGGAAAGUUUCGGCGGUUGGGGAAGGACGCGCGGCUUAUCAGCUUGUUGGUGGGGUAGUGGCGUACCAAGGCUUUGACGGGUAGCCGGCCUGGGAGGGUGACCGGCCACAUUGGGACUGAGAUGGGGCCCAGACUCCUACGGGAGGCAGGAGUGGGGAAUAUUGCACAAUGGGCGGAAGCCGGAUACAGGAACGCCGCGUGCGGGAUGACGGCCUUCGGGUUGUAAACCGCUUUCGCCUGUGACGAAGCGUGAGUGACGGUAAUGGGUAAAGAAGCAACGGCUAACUACGUG